rnacentral:rRNA from 1 species
CCUACGGGUGGCAGCAGUGGGGAAUAUUGCACAAUGGGGGAAACCCUGAUGCAGCGACGCCGCGUGAGUGAAGAAGUCAUUCGUUAUGUUCAGCUCUAUCAGCAGGGAAGCAAAUGACGGUACCUGAGUAAGAAUCCCCGGCUAACUACGUGCCAGCAGCCGCGGUAAUACGUAGGGGGCAAGCGUUAUCCGGAUUUACUGGGUGUAAAGGGAGCGUAGACGGCAGUGCAAGUCUGGAGUGAAAGGCGGGGGGUCAACCCCCGGACUGCUCUGGAAACUGUACGGCUGGAGUGCAGGAGAGGUAAGUGGAAUUCCUAGUGUAGCGGUGAAAGGCGUAGAUAGUAGGAGGAACACCAGUGGCGAAGGCGGCUUACUGGACUGUAACUGACGUGGAGGCUCGAAAGCGUGGGGAGCAAACAGGAGUAGAUACCCGAGUAGUC